rnacentral:ncRNA from 1 species
CAAAGGCAUGGUCCCGACCUUAUUAUCAGCUCUAACUCAACUUACACAUGCAAGUCUCCGCAACCCAGUGAAUAUGCCCUCAAUCCCCCCACCCGGGGACGAGGAGCGGGCAUCAGGCACAAACAUUAGCCCAAGACGCCUAGCCAAGCCACACCCCCAAGGGAAUUCAGCAGUGAUAAACAUUAAGCCAUAAGUGAAAACUUGACUCAGUUAGUGUUAAGAGGGCCGGUAAAACUCGUGCCAGCCACCGCGGUUAGACGAGAGGCCCUAGUUGAUAUUACAACGGCGUAAAGGGUGGUUAAGGAUAAACAAAAAUAAAGUCAAAUGGCCCCUUGGCCGUCAUACGCUUCUAGGAGUCCGAAGCCCUAACACGAAAGUAACUUUAAUAAACCCACCUGACCCCACGAAAGCUGAGAAACAAACUGGGAUUAGAUACCCCACUAUGCUCAGCCGUAAACUCAGACAUCCAGCUACAAUUAGAUGUCCGCCAGGGUACUACGAGCAUUAGCUUAAAACCCAAAGGACCUGACGGUGUCUCAGACCCCCCUAGAGGAGCCUGUUCUAGAACCGAUAACCCCCGUUCAACCUCACCACUUCUAGCCACCCCAGCCUAUAUACCGCCGUCGUCAGCUUACCCUGUGAAGGUAAUAAAAGUAAGCAAAAUGGGCACAACCCAAAACGUCAGGUCGAGGUGUAGCGCAUGAAGUGGGAAGAAAUGGGCUACAUUUUCUAAUAUAGAAUAUUACGAACAUGCACCAUGAAACAAUGCUUGAAGGAGGAUUUAGUAGUAAAAGGGAAAUAGAGUGUCCCUUUGAACCCGGCUCUGAGACGCGUACACACCGCCCGUCACUCUCCCCUGUCAAAACGCACCAAAAAUACAUAAUACAACAGCACUGACAAGGGGAGGCAAGUCGUAACACGGUAAGUGUACCGGAAGGUGCACUUGGAUCAAACC